CCUACGUGCGGCAGCAGUGGGGAAUAUUGCACAAUGGGGGAAACCCUGAUGCAGCGACGCCGCGUGAGUGAAGAAGUAUUUCGGUAUGUAAAGCUCUAUCAGCAGGGAAGAAAAUGACGGUACCUGAUUAAGAAGCCCCGGCUAACUACGUGCCAGCAGCCGCGGUACUACGUAGGGGGCAAGCGUUAUCCGGAUUUACUGGGUGUAAAGGGGGCGUAGACGGCAGCGCAAGUCUGAAGUGAAAUGCCGGGGCUUAACCCCGGAACUGCUUUGGAAACUGUGCAGCUAGAGUGCAGGAGAGGUAAGUGGAAUUCCUAGUGUAGCGGUGAAAUGCGUAGAUAUUAGGAGGAACACCAGUGGCGAAGGCGGCUUACUAAACUAUAACUGACACUGAAGCACGAAAGCGUGGGGAUCAAACAGGAUUAGAUACCCUAGUAGUC
rnacentral:rRNA from 1 species